GACGAACGCUGGCGGCGUGCUUAACACAUGCAAGUCGAACGCUGAAGCCCCAGCUUGCUGGGGUGGAUGAGUGGCGAACGGGUGAGUAACACGUGAGUAACCUGCCCAUCACUCUGGGAUAAGCGCUGGAAACGGCGUCUAAUACUGGAUACGAGCAGCGACCGCAUGGUCAGCUGCUGGAAAGACUGGUUCGGUGAUGGAUGGACUCGCGGCCUAUCAGCUUGUUGGUGAGGUAAUGGCUCACCAAGGCGACGACGGGUAGCCGGCCUGAGAGGGUGACCGGCCACACUGGGACUGAGACACGGCCCAGACUCCUACGGGAGGCAGCAGUGGGGAAUAUUGCACAAUGGGCGCAAGCCUGAUGCAGCAACGCCGCGUGAGGGAUGACGGCCUUCGGGUUGUAAACCUCUUUUAGUAGGGAAGAAGCCUUCGGGUGACGGUACCUGCAGAAAAAGCACCGGCUAACUACGUGCCAGCCGCCGCAGUAAUAC
rnacentral:rRNA from 1 species